UAGGCAGAGGCCUGUUGGUUUGGGCGCCUAGCUGUUAACUAGGAGAGUUUGUGGGAUCGAGGCCCACCUGCCUAG
rnacentral:tRNA from 1 species